rnacentral:rRNA from 1 species
GAUGAACGCUGGCGGCGUGCCUAACACAUGCGAGUCGAGCGGACAGACGAGGAGCUUGCGCCGCGGACGUUAGCGGCGGACGGGAGAGUCACACGUGGAUAACCCACCUAUAUGACGGGGAUAAUUACGGGAAACCGGAUCAAAUACCGGAUAAUAUAUUGAACCGCAGGGUUCAAUGGUGAGAGACGGCUUUGCGGUCACUUAUAGAGGGAUCCGCGCCGCAUUAGCUAGUUGGUAAGGUAACGGCUUACCAAGGCAACGAUGCGUGGCCGAGCUGUGAGGGUGGUCGGCCACCCUGGAACUGAGACACGCUCCAGACUCCUACGGGAGGCAGCAGUAGGGAAUCUUCCGCAAUGGGCGGAAGCCUGACGCAGCAAGGCCGCGUGAGUGAUGAAGGUCUUCGGUUCGUAAAACGCUGUUUUUGGGGAAGAACAGCUGUGUAAGUAGCUAAGGACGUCUUGACGGUACCUAAUGAAGAAGCCACGGCUAACUACGUG